rnacentral:lncRNA from 1 species
UUGCAUAGAGGAAAGAAUAGAUGCAACAUAUAGUGCGUGCAUAAAAGAGAGUGAGCAAGAGGGAGGAUUGGUCACGCCACUCAAGCAAGCAAUUCAUCCGCAUUGAGUCCUUACAAUCAGUACCCUAUUUAUCCAUAUUUUAUUAAUUGAGGCUAUGUUAUUGUUACAAUAAAGUGGAGCCCAUUCAAUUUUCUACUUGUCAUUUCUAGCUCUCCUCUACCUUCUUAAAGACUUUGUAUUCAUUUAUGCCACUUCUCACUUGAAAUUCUUCAUGCUAAUAUCUUCAUACAUUCUAUCUCUUGCAUUGUUUUUCCUACAACUGUGCAAUUCCUCUCCUCUCUUAUAGUACUUCCAAAUA